GGGGCUGUGGCUCAGUGAUAGAGUGCUUGCCUAGCAUGCAGGAGGCACUGGGUUCUAUCCCCGGCCCCCA
rnacentral:tRNA from 1 species